CAAGUGCAAGUGCCGCGAUAGAUGCUCGAAUAAUGUGAAUUUAAUUGAGAUAUGUAUUUUAUUUUUUAUUUUUUAAAUACAUAUCAAUUGCUAGCAUGUUGCCCGUAACGCCAAUUUUAUAUUUUGUAUUUUUUAUUAUAUUAUGUUUUUUAUUUCUUUUGUAUAUAUAUUAUGUCUUGAAUACAAGCCUGUGUAAUUAUAUAUAAUAAAUAUUAGUCAUUCUUAAUUGAUUUGAUUACUUUAACUUAGGUGGCAAUUUGCUAUACUUCAUCAGUCGUUCUAAUUCUGUAUCUAUGACAGAUCUAAUCUGUACCGUUACACACAUUUAAAUCUUAAACAGCUGGAGAAAGUUCAUCGCUCGUUCAAAUCUUUAUCAAUAGAAACACGGCUCAUAAAUGUGUAUUAAUGUUCAUUAAUUAAAGUUUAUGUAAGUGUUUAUUUCCUUGCAGAUGCCAUUUGUUUACUUUAUCUCUUAUCUUGACUUAUUUAUGGAAGUCUGGGAAUUGUCUGACCGCAAUGUUAAUAGUCUAUCUUGUUUGAUAUAUAAGGCAUGUCAAUCUUAAGUAACUCCUCCCUUACUUUUCUAGGGUACAUUAGAAAUUUAGUUAAGUUGCAGUUGUAAUUUUUAUAUGGAUUAGAUACACAUGUUUAUUUUAUGCAAUAUUUUUAUUUUGUAAUUAUUUACCCUCCAUCCGCCCCUUACACCUCCGAGAUUGUGGUUUGUGCUUUGGCAACAUGUGUAGCAUUUCGUUUGGGCAAUGUAAUAAUGAAUUUCAUCCAUUCUUUACUUGUCACAAAAUUAUUAUCUGAGUUCUCAGGCAGCCCUGAAUAAAAUGGAUAACUAGGCAGCCCUCUCGUCGGGUGAACGAAUCAUUUGUUUGUCCAUUUGACAGUUCUUUUGGAUACAUGUUUUAGUGUGCAAAUGGUUUUUUCACUCGAGGUUAUCCGUCUCAGGUUGCAAAGUGAGCCCAUACCCUCUAAGCAUGGGCUGGGCCAGCGCUCAACAUGCAGGUAUUAAAAUUAAUUAAAUAAACUAAAAGAGUGGGUAUACUUGAGUUACAUAUGUUUGACAUGGG
rnacentral:lncRNA from 1 species